UGGGGAAUUUUGGACAAUGGGCGAAAGCCUGAUCCAGCAAUGCCGCGUGUGUGAAGAAGGCCUUCGGGUUGUAAAGCACUUUUGUCCGGAAAGAAAUCCUUGGCUCUAAUACAGUCGGGGGAUGACGGUACCGGAAGAAUAAGCACCGGCUAACUACGUGCCAGCAGCCGCGGUAAUACGUAGGGUGCAAGCGUUAAUCGGAAUUACUGGGCGUAAAGCGUGCGCAGGCGGUUUGCUAAGACCGAUGUGAAAUCCCCGGGCUCAACCUGGGAACUGCAUUGGUGACUGGCAGGCUAGAGUAUGGCAGAGGGGGGUAGAAUUCCACGUGUAGCAGUGAAAUGCGUGGAGAUGUGGAGGAAUACCGAUGGCGAAGGCAGCCCCCUGGGCCAAUACUGACGCUCAUGCACGAAAGCGUGGGGAGCAAACAGGAUUAGAUACCCUGGUAGUCCACGCCCUAAAACGAUGUCAACUAGUUGUUGGGGAUUCAUUUCCUUAGUAACGUAGCUAACGCGUGAAGUUGACCGCCUGGGGAGUACGGUCGCAAGAUUAAAACUCAAAUGAAUUGACGGGGUCAUAGCUG
rnacentral:rRNA from 1 species